UAGAAGCUGACAAAUUUCCUUUUUGCCUGCAUAAAUGAGGAGCAAAUUAAGCAUGCUGACAAGCAACUCAUGUAUCAAUGCCGCUGUUCUUUUCUUGAGAUUUACAAUGAACAAAUCACUGAUUUGUUGGAUCCAAGCCAAAGAAACCUCCAGAUAAGAGAAGAUGCUGCUUUUGGUUA